CCCAUGUAAUAAUAAUCUUUAGUCCAGAUUGUACCUGUUCCUGGUACUUAAUACCAAAAAUUACAACUAAUAUUUUUGGAAUGCUUAAUAUGUGCCAGAUAUUUUUCCAAGUUGUUCAUUUAGAUUUUCUCAUUCAUUUGAUUCUUGAAAUAAAUCUGUAGUUUGGGAACUGUCAUUUUCCCUCAUUUUAGAGAUAAGGAUUCUGUGGCACAGAGAGGUCAAAUCAUUUUCUCCACUUUACAGAGCUGACAAAAAGCAUAUCUGGGAUUUUCAUUCAGAGAGUACAGCUCCACCAUAUAUAUGAGAAUGCACUACACUGCCCUACCCCAUAGUGUUUCUAGCAUUAUGGAUGUGCUUUAUUUUAUAUUAAUAAGUAAUCAUUGAAAUGUAGGCUCACCAAGGGAUCUGUGUUUUAUUCAAUAUUUGACCAAAUUCCUAGAACAGUCCCUGACACAUAGUAGGUGAUCAGUUAAUAUAUAUUGCUGUUGUUAAAAUGAGAAAAUUGUGGAGGGUUUAACACAUGUUUUGUGCUACCAGCAUGGAGAAGGAGCAUGAGAAGUUCAUAUGAAAAGGCAGGAGAAUCUUUGCUCGUUUGGACAUCACUACAUCCCAUUCUGGAAUUUUCCCCAAGGAAAAUAAUUUUUUAAGAGCAUUUAUUCGAACACCAGUGCUAUCAAGAAGGACAUUGUAGAGUCUGAGAAAGAGAAAUCCUCCAAACUGGAAGGGUCCCUGUGGUUGUGAGGGAAGGAAAUACAGCAAUGCAUACCAGUGUGGACCUUGGGAGCUAAGUGCAGUUGGAAACAUAAUGCUUCAGCAGAUUGUAUGGAAAGAUGCUAAAGACCAAGGACCAAUGAAAUGAUAAGUUCCAUGACAAAGGACCACACCUCACCCUGUACUUCCCUACUCCUGGCAUAUUUAAUACCAUAUUAAACUUAAGAUAAGAGGACAUA